GUUUAUUUUCGUCUAGCAGAGCCUGAGACAGACAGCGUGUGAGGGAGUCGUGGGUAGGGAUUAUCCGAGGAAAGAUAAAAUAAUAUAUAUACUACUGCAGACAAAAAUCCGCUUUAUCCACCUUAUCAGGCACCAUGCAUCAGAUGUGGCUGUUCUCUAUGGCGCAGUGUGUGCUGUCGGUGUCCGUGAUCGCCUUGAAUGUUAGGCUGUGUAUGCGUUUGGAUUCGGGUAGCCAUUUAAAGAGUGUUUCCUCCUGUCUAAAGCUGUGUUUGGGCUGGGUGGGAGCUAUCGGGGGUGCCAUGGACAUUCCAGUCAACAUGUUGCUGAACAUGAGGAGCACUCAGUGCCUGUACACGUGCAUGAUGCUGGUGUGCUUCCCCCUGCUGGUCAGACAGUUCACCGUGUGGCUGCUGCUGCUUCUCGUCCUCAACACGCACCUACAUUGCCGAUUAGGACACAGGUAUGCAGGCUUGGUAACACGUCGGCGAAUGCUGUGUCUGGUGCUCCUCAGCUGGCUUUGCUCUGUUGUAACUGCCUUCGCACAGUUCAUUGUGUGCAACUCAGUGGACACUUGGGGAACGGCCGGGCUGGGAUUCAUCUGGCCCAACCAGACUACCCAUAAGCCACACCCGCAAGCCCCAUCAGUGAUUGGCGAGUACCUUCCUUAUGGCGGAUUCCUGUCCAAGUUCCUGGUGGAGGACAUGAAAAACUUCACCUACGCAGAGAUUCACAGCAGCCACUGGGGCGUCUGUGCUCAUGACACUGUCCUUAACCCAGCCUUUUUGGUCUAUGUCUAUGAUGUUGCUGUUUAUUACAUUCCCCUACUUAUUCUGCUGGGUGUAUAUGUAGAUCUUAGCUGUGUGAUGUCACGACAGACUGUGAUAAGUCUCUCUGAGCUCCAGAUGAAAACCUCAGGCUGGUCUCGCUCUCUGGUUCUGUCCUUGUGUCUCCUGGUUCUCCUGUACCUACCUAUACACACCAUCCAUGCUUUGCAUCUCUUUGCCCCCAGCAGCCAAUGGCCUCUUUGGGCAAAUUAUGUGGCCUCUAUCCUUUUCCAGACUUAUGGUUUGGUUCCUCCCGUCCUUUUCAGUUCUUCUCCUCAAAAAGUGACUACAGGUAGUGAAUCUCUGGCUCUAAAAACAGCUACCUCACGGCUGAAGUCUAUUUCCCCGACACCCUUGGAGUUCUGUUUGCCUAAGCCAAUGCCAAAAGGCAAAACAUGACAAGAGGUGUGAUACCAUGAUGAUGAUUUUCACAAAACCCAAAAUCCAAAUCCUGAUCCUAACCAAUUAUACAAUUUUCAAUACUCCGAUUUUAAAUUUCACCCGAGUGACCAUGAUGACUGCUCCAUGAAAAUGAUGUAAGCUUUUCUUUCCAUCGUUUCUGAAUAAUUAUGAUUUCUGCCAGCUAGCUGUAAUCCUCAAAUUAAUAUUCCUCUGACAACCACCUCAAAUAACAGUAAUGGUGCUGUCCUAAUCGAAUGCCACAGAAGGAUUAACUGGCUACAUGUACUAUAGCCCAGUGAUGAAGACUGAUCUGAGCAUGUUUAAUUAAACCAAGAGUAAUAAUAACAUCUACGAUCGGGGCUGUAAUAAUUGUAUUCAGACAUAAUUGACCACAGAUUUCAUUGCUAUUUGAUUAAAUGUGUCUUUCUUGUGUGUAGCUUGAAUAAAAUGCAUAGCUCACCACUAAUUGGGUUCUUUUUUAUAUUGGAAAAAAAUGACCCUGUCUGAUAUUCAAAUUGCACAAAGGUCUUGGCUCCUUUCCCUCCCAGUCACUCUCCAUCUCUUUUUUUAGGGGGAAAUCUCUGGCCAAGUUCCUCGUUUGUCCUGUGCUUUUCACAUUUCACUGUGUUAUGAUGAGUGGUCCCUUCUGACUAUUGCUUCAUCUGUUUCAACUGUUCAUCUCUCUCUCUCUUUCUGAAGCUUUUUCUGUCUCACUGAAGUUUAGGCCACACGGGUCCCUCGCUGCACAGCGCUACUGAAAGGUGGAGCCAAGAGAAAAAAGGAAAAGCUCUCUUAGAUGGAGAGGCCCAUUCGAUUGUACUCUGUGCAUGAAAAACCUUUUUGUUCCCUGCUGGCUAGAACAGCUCCCUGCCAUUACUUUACCACUUCAGUCGAUCCAUAGGAUUUAAUCUUUGCCAGGCUUUCUGCAUGAAUGAGUUCACUUCAAAGUAAGAAAAAAAAAAUCAGGUAACUAACAUUCAGAGUGCGACUUAAGACAUCAGCAUCCAAAGCUGAGGUACUUGCUGUAUGUCAUAUCUAAACUAUUUAAAUCGGCAUAAAUGCAUUAGGUAUGUGCUUAUAUUGUAUAUAGCUAUGAUUCUAUCCACUGGAUGACGUGCUUAUUCUUUAUAUCUGAAGGUGUAAUGCUACCACAGUCCUUUCUAGGAUUCAAGUCUAAAAAGCUUCAAGGAAUGAAUAAAAACAGACACUUCUGCUAGGAACAAAAAUGAGAGUUCAGAAAAAGGAAAAUUAAACUUAUACUUAAACUGUAAGCAUUUUCUUAACAUAAAACUUCAUUAUGAUAACAUUUGCGUUAGACAGAUAACCAAACCUAGCAUGUCUUAUGCACUGUUAAAAAUUUGCUAUCUCUCUUAUUUCAAUAAUAACUUGUUGCAAUAAUAUAUUUUUAACUGUUGAUCAGUUCUGCACAUCGGCUUGGAGGAAUUUUAGACCGUUCCUCAGUACAGAACAGUUUCAACUCUGGGAUGUUGGUGGGUUUCCUCACGUGAACUGCUUGCUUCAGGUUCUUCCACAGGAUCUCUAUUGGAUUAAGGUCAGGACUUUGACUUGACCAUUGCAAAACAUUAACUUUAUUCUUCUUUAACCAUUCUGUGGUAGAAUGACUUAUGUGCUUAGGGCUGUUGUCUUGCUGCAUGACCUGCUUUCUCUUGAGAUUCAGUUCACUGACAUAUGUCCUGACAUUUUCCUUUAGUAUUCGCUGUUGUACAUUAAUUCAGAACUGAUUGUUCCAUCAAUGAUAGAGGUCGUCCAGGCCCAGAUGCAGCAAAACAGGUCCAAACCAUGAUAGUACCACCAGCAUGUUUCACAGAUGGGAUAAGGUUCUUAUGCUGGAAUACAGUGGUUUCCUAUCUCCAAACAUAAUGCUUCUCAUUUAAACCAAAAAGUUUUAUUUGGCCUAUUGGAAAAAUAUUUUUCCAAUAGCCUACUGGCUUAUCCACAGAGAAGGCCAGCAAUGUUCUUUCUAGAGAGCAGUGGUUUUCUCCUUGCAUCCCUGCUAUGCACACCAUUGUUGUUUAAUGUUCUCCUGAUGUCUGGAGUUUGUCCAUCAAUUUCGACGAAGACCGAAGUUUCCAUUUCCGCCUCCAUUAUGGAGAACACAAACUGGGACUCGACUUGUGCAUGAAUUGGAUUAUAGUGUGGAAGACUUGCGCACUUUCCCAGUGACCACCACGAUCCAGUGGCAAGACUGAGUCAAGACGACUGAAGAUGGCCCCCGGGCGCAGUGAUUCAUACACCCAUUCAUACACUACGGUCACUUUGGAAACGCCAAUCCGCCUACCAUGCACGUCUUUGGACUGGGGUACCGGAGUACCCGGAGGAAACCCCCACAGUACGGGGAGAACAUGCAAACUCCACACACACAGGGCCACAAUGGGAAUCGAACCUCCAACCCUGGAGGUGUGAGGCGAAUGUGCUAACCACUAAGCCUCUCCUGAUGGUAGACUCAUGAACAUUAACAUUAGCCAAUGUGAGAGU
ensembl:lncRNA